rnacentral:rRNA from 1 species
UUAAUAGUAAAAUCUGCUCCAUGAACAUUAAAUAGCCGCAAUUCGUGCUAAGGUAGCAUAAUCAUUUGUCUUUUAAAUAAAGACUAGAACAAAAGAUUUAAUAUUUAUAUUAAUUUAUUUAAUCUUAAUAAUUAAAAUUAUCCUAAAUAUAAAAAGAUAUUUAUUCAAAAAAAAGACGACAAGACCCUAUUGAACUUAACUUUAGUUACACUGGGGCAGUUAAUUAAUUAAUAUUUUAUAUUAUAUUAAAUAUACAAAUAUCCAAUAUAAUUGAUUAAUUCAGUUACCAUAGGGAUAACAGCGCAAUUUUAUUUUAAAGUUCUUAUAUAAAAAAAAGAUUACGACCUCGAUGUUGAAUUAAUAACCUAAUUUACAAAGCAAAUUUUAAAAAAGGAAGUCUGUUCGACUUUUAAAAAAUUACAUGAUUUGAGUUCAGACCGGUGUAAGCCAGGUCGGUUUCUAUCUUUUUAAAAAAAUUUUACAGUACGAAAGGACCUAAGAAAUUAAUUUAAUUAAACUUAUUGGCAGAUAAAUGCAUUAGAAUUAGAAUCUAAAUAAACU